rnacentral:rRNA from 1 species
GAUGAACGCUGGCGGCGUGCCUAAUACAUGCAAGUCGAGCGAACAGACGAGGAGCUUGCUCCUCUAACGUUAGCGGCGGACGGGUGAGUAACACGUGGAUAACCUACCUAUAAGACUGGGAUAACUUCGGGAAACCGGAGCUAAUACCGGAUAAUAUAUUGAGCCGCAUGGUUCAAUAGUGAAAGACGGUUUUGCUGUCACUUAUAGAUGGAUCCGCGCCGCAUUAGCUAGUUGGUAAGGUAACAGCUUACCAAGGCAACGAUGCGUAGCCGACCUGAGAGGGUGAUCGGCCACACUGGAACUGAGACACGGUCCAGACUCCUACGGGAGGCAGCAGUAGGGAAUCUUCCGCAAUGGGCGAAAGCCUGACGGAGCAACGCCGCGUGAGUGAUGAAGGUCUUCGGAUCGUAAAACUCUGUUAUUAGGGAAGAACAAAUGUGUAAGUAACUAUGCACGUCUUGACGGUACCUAAUCAGAAAGCCACGGCUAACUACGUGCCAGCAGCCGCGGUAAUACGUAGGUGGCAAGCGUUAUCCGGAAUUAUUGGGCGUAAAGCGCGCGUAGGCGGUUUUUUAGUCUGAUGUGAAAGCCCACGGCUCAACCGUGGAGGGUCAUUGGAAACUGGAAAACUUGAGUGCAGAAGAGGAAAGUGGAAUUCCAUGUGUAGCGGUGAAAUGCGCAGAGAUAUGGAGGAACACCAGUGGCGAAGGCGACUUUCUGGUCUGUAACUGACGCUGAUGUGCGAAAGCGUGGGGAUCAAACAGGAUUAGAUACCCUGGUAGUCCACGCCGUAAACGAUGAGUGCUAAGUGUUAGGGGGUUUCCGCCCCUUAGUGCUGCAGCUAACGCAUUAAGCACUCCGCCUGGGGAGUACGACCGCAAGGUUGAAACUCAAAGGAAUUGACGGGGACCCGCACAAGCGGUGGAGCAUGUGGUUUAAUUCGAAGCAACGCGAAGAACCUUACCAAAUCUUGACAUCCUCUGACCCCUCUAGAGAUAGAGUUUUCCCCUUCGGGGGACAGAGUGACAGGUGGUGCAUGGUUGUCGUCAGCUCGUGUCGUGAGAUGUUGGGUUAAGUCCCGCAACGAGCGCAACCCUUAAGCUUAGUUGCCAUCAUUAAGUUGGGCACUCUAAGUUGACUGCCGGUGACAAACCGGAGGAAGGUGGGGAUGACGUCAAAUCAUCAUGCCCCUUAUGAUUUGGGCUACACACGUGCUACAAUGGACAAUACAAAGGGUAGCGAAACCGCGAGGUCAAGCAAAUCCCAUAAAGUUGUUCUCAGUUCGGAUUGUAGUCUGCAACUCGACUAUAUGAAGCUGGAAUCGCUAGUAAUCGUAGAUCAGCAUGCUACGGUGAAUACGUUCCCGGGUCU